rnacentral:rRNA from 1 species
GACGAACGCUGGCGGCGUGCUUAACACAUGCCAGUCGAACGGAAAGGCCUCUUUCGGGGGGUACUCGAGUGGCGAACGGGUGAGUAACACGUGAGUAACCUGACCUUGACUUUGGGAUAACUUCAGGAAACUGGGGCUAAUACCGGAUAGGAGCUCCUGCUGCAUGGUGGGGGUUGGAAAGUUUCGGCGGCUGGGGAUGGACUCGCGGCUUAUCAGCUUGUUGGUGGGGUAGUGGCUUACCAAGGCUUUGACGGGUAGCCGGCCUGAGAGGGUGACCGGCCACAUUGGGACUGAGAUACGGCCCAGACUCCUACGGGAGGCAGCAGUGGGGAAGAUUGCACAAUGGGUGGAAGCCUGAUGCAGCAACGCCGUGUGCGGGAUGACGGCCUUCGGGUUGUAAACCGCUUUCGCUCAUGACGAAGCUUUGUGUGACGGUAGUGGGUAAAGAAGCACCGGCUAACUACGUG